AUGUCAUAAGCAACUCACCAAUAUGAGCUUACUCAUCAAUUGUAGACUACCCGAUUUCUUCUUCCCCUCAUGUAAUUUCCAUGGUAUUGAUUUAGAGGUUUUGCCAAAACCAUUAAAGUUUAGCUCAUCCCUUACGUUUCUCGUCACCUAUAAUCCCCUACAAAUACCCAAGUAUGCUGCCAUCAUUCUCCAUAUCAAGCAAGAACACACAUGUAAUUAGCUAUGAAAAUCCUCCAAAAUACCCUCUGUUUCUAUGCACCACCACCAUCGUAGCUGCCUCUACCUUCAUACUGCCACCAAAACACCACUCUAGUAAUUAACCUUCUCUCACCCCCUAACCACCAUGUAUGACUUCUAACCAAAAACAACAAGCUUGUAGCAUUUCGUUACCAAAACCGAAAACCGAAAUUAGUCCCUCUUUCUCCCUCCUCUGCGGUACGAACCACCGAACCACCACCACCUUCUGCCUCCACCGUCACCAACAUCACAAUCUACUCUCUAAGAACUAACGACCCAAAAGUAAUAAGUAUAAAUUGUAGUAUCUCGAAACCGCACCCGAACUCAUGAUCAUGAUGUACCCCUCCUCUAUCCUCGCUGCUGUCACGGUGCAGAACCACCACCUCACCGGAGGCACCUUGAUACCUCCGUGAAACUCCGACCACCCAACCUCGACGAGUACCACCUACUUCCACCCAUGUGCCGAUGCCACCUCACGCAAAUGCCACUUCACUGUUCUUCUCUGUUUCGUGUAGACAAAAGUUGAGUGUUUAAAUGUGUAAACCAAUUACCAACUAGAGUAAUAUUGUAUAGUACGUGGGUCACCAAAUUCCUAAGAUAAAGUCAACCUUCCUAUUAUCCUCUAAAUUUGGGAUAAUCGAUUUUUGGAGCUCAGGAAGAACGGUCCAUCGAACAUGAAGUAUAAACUACGGUUGAGGUACGAAGAAGAUCAUGGGAUGUCUUAGAGUGAGGAUGCAACCAUCAACUUCAAGAUCGCUGUUUAGUAAAGAUAAUUAUGUCUCACGAGUAAUAAUGGAUGUAUUAACUAAACUCUAAGGUUAUUUUCAAGUAUUGAGUUAGAUUCUAAUAUAAAUGUUUAAUCAAUGCUAGAAGUAUUUAUUAUUAAAGUUUAUGUAGUAA